rnacentral:rRNA from 1 species
CCUACGGGUGGCAGCAGUGAGGAAUAUUGGUCAAUGGACGAGAGUCUGAACCAGCCAAGCCGCGUGAGGGAAGAAGGUACAGCGUAUCGUAAACCUCUUUUGUCAGGGAACAAAGGCGGGGACUAGUCCCCGGAUGAGGGUACCUGACGAAAAAGCAUCGGCUAACUCCGUGCCAGCAGCCGCGGUAAUACGGAGGAUGCGAGCGUUAUCCGGAUUGAUUGGGUUUAAAGGGUGCGCAGGCGGCCUGUUAAGUCAGCGGUAAAAGCCCGGGGCUCAACCCCGGCGAGCCGUUGAAACUGGCGGGCUGGAGUUGGCGAGAAGUACGCGGAAUGCGCGGUGUAGCGGUGAAAUGCUUAGAUAUCGCGCAGAACCCCGAUUGCGAAGGCAGCGUACCGGCUCCACACUGACGCUGAGGCACGAAAGCGUGGGUAUCGAACAGGAUUAAAUACCCUGGUAGUC